CCUACGGGAGGCAGCAGUGAGGAAUAUUGGUCAAUGGGCGCGAGCCUGAACCAGCCAAGUAGCGUGAAGGAUGACUGCCCUACGGGUUGUAAACUUCUUUUAUAAGGGAAUAAAAUAAGGCACGUGUGCCUUUUUGUAUGUACUUUAUGAAUAAGGAUCGGCUAACUCCGUGCCAGCAGCCGCGGUAAUACGGAGGAUCCGAGCGUUAUCCGGAUUUAUUGGGUUUAAAGGGAGGGUAGAUGGGGUGCUAAGUCCGUUGUGAAAGUUUGGGGCUAAACCCCGUAGUGCCGUUGAAACUGAUGUUCUUGAGUGGGGGAGAAGUAUGCGGAAUGCGUGGUGUAGCGGUGAAAUGCGUAGAUAUCACGCAGAACUCCGAUUGCGAAGGCAGCAUACCGGAGCCUAACUGACGCUGAAGCACGAAAGCGUGGGUAUCGAACAGGAUUAGAUACCCUUGUAGUC
rnacentral:rRNA from 1 species